UAGGGAAUCUUCGGCAAUGGGGGGAACCCUGACCGAGCAACGCCGCGUGUGUGAAGAAGGUUUUCGGAUCGUAAAGCUCUGUUGUGAAGGAAGAACGAGUGUGAGAAUGGAAAGUUCAUACUGUGACGGUACUUAACCAGAAAGGGACGGCUAACUACGUGCCAGCAGCCGCGGUAAUACGUAGGUCCCGAGCGUCGUCCGGAUGUAUGGGGCGUAAAGCGAGCGCAGGCGGUUAGAUAAGUCUGACGUUAAAGGCAGUGGCUCAACUGUUGUAGGCUUUGGAAACUGUUUAACUUGAGUGCAGAAGGGGAGAGUAGAAUUCCAUGUGUAGCGGUGAAAUGCGUAGAUAUAUGGAGGAACACCGGUGGCGAAAGCGGCUCUCUGGUCUGUAUCUGACGCUGAGGCUCGAAAGCGUGGGGCGCGAACAGG
rnacentral:rRNA from 1 species